UCCCAGUCAAGGAACUGAGAGCAAGAUCUUUCUUGGGGAGCUGAAGUGAAGAAGUCAGACAGAGAAAGACGGCUGCCAGUAAAGAGUACAUUGUCAGGAAUUCCCUGGGACUGCUGCCCUGCUGCUGGGGUAGGCAGAGCAGGCUUCGGGGACCAGGGACAGUGCUCAGGCGAAGGGACACAGGUGCUGGUGGCUGGAAGUGGGACCCGCCUGGACUGAAGUGAGCUUGCCGCUCAGCGGAGGAGCAAGCAAGCAACCAGGCAGCACUUCAAAUAUUUCGUGAUGGUAGAAAAGAGCCGUGUGUCCGGGCAGGUCUCCUGGAGAAGGUGACAUCUCACUAGACCCGCAUUAGGACUAGAAAUUGUGAGUGUGCAUGACGACACCUCUGGGUGACUCCCGCCUGCCCCCAGCCGCUCAGUCCCUCCCUGCCUUCUGGCCCUCUUGCCUGGGGCUUCCGACCUCCCCACUGUGCCCACCCUGAAUUUUUGGCCCAGAGAAUCCAGGGCUGGAAUGAGUUG